UGAUUAAGCAAAAGAACAGAUUAAUAUAUACAAGCAUGGUAAGAAUUGCCCAGAGAAGGGAGUAAUUACGAGACCCAAGUGUCAGCGUGGACGGACCAAGCUUUGGUGAUCAAGUUUGUCAGACCAAGGUGAUAAGUGAGUUGGAUAGCAAAUGGCUGGCUUUGCUUGCUAAACUGCUUAUCUUCAAACGAGGGCUUUAAAUCCUCUGAAACUGAUUAUAACCUUAAAAGAAUUGACGGAAGCACAAAUGAAUGGACAAGCAAGAGAUUUCAGUUUAAAAUAAAACGGAAUCUACUCUUGCAGCCUCAACCGAUUGAAGAACACCAGGAAAUGAAAUUCAGGAGCCCAAUAAACAAAUCCAACGACAGG
rnacentral:misc_RNA from 1 species